rnacentral:rRNA from 1 species
GCAUAUCAAUAAGCGGAGGAAAAGAAACCAACAGGGAUUGCCCUAGUAACGGCGAGUGAAGCGGCAACAGCUCAAAUUUGAAAUCUGGCUCUYUUAGAGKSCGAGUUGUAAUUUGCAGAGGGCGCUUUGGCUKUGGCRGCGGUCCAWGUUCCUUGGAACASGACRUCACAGAGGGKGAGAAUCCCGUACGUGGKCGCUGGCUAUUGCCGUGUARAGCCCCUUCGACGAGUMGAGUUGUUUGGGAAUGCAGCUCUAAAUGGGAGGUACAUUUCUUCUAAAGCUAAAUAUUGGCCAGAGACCGAUAGCGCACAAGUAGAGUGAUCRAAAGAUGAAAAGCACUUUGGAAAGAGAGUCAAACAGCACGUGAAAUUGUUGAAAGGGAAGCGCUUGCAGCCAGACUUGCUUACAGUUGCUCAUCCGGGUUUCUACCCGGUGCACUCUUCUGUAGGCAGGCCAGCAUCAGUUUGGGCGGUAGGAUAAAGGUCUCUGUCACGUACCUCCUUUCGGGGAGGCCUUAUAGGGGAGACGACAUACUACCAGCCUGGACUGAGGUCCGCGCAUCUGCUAGGAUGCUGGCGUAAUGGCUGUAAGCGGCCCGUCUUGAAACACGGACCAAGGAGUCUAACAUCUAUGCGAGUGUUUGGGUGUCAAGCCCGAGCGCGUAAUGAAAGUGAACGGAGGUGGGAACCCGCAAGGGUGCACCAUCGACCGAUCCUGAUGUCUUCGGAAGGAUUUGAGUAAGAGCAUGGCUGUUGGGACCCGAAAGAUGGUGAACUAUGCUUGAAUAGGGUGAAGCCAGAGGAAACUCUGGUGGAGGCUCGCAGCGGUUCUGACGUGCAAAUCGAUCGUCAAAUUUGGGCAUAGGGGCGAAAGACUAAUCRAACUAUCUAGUAGCUGGUUCCUGCCG